GCCCCUGAAGGUUGAACCGGUCGAAGAUACCAGCUGGCUGCAACUGUUUAUUAAAAACACAGCACUCUGCAAACACGAAAGUGGAGGUAUAGGGUGUGAUGCCUGCCCGGUGCUGGAAGGUUAAUUGAUGGUGUAAUCGAAAGAGAAGCACCUGAUCGAAGCCCCAGUAAACGGCGGCCGUAACUAUAACGGUCCUAAGGUAGCGAAAUUCCUUGUCGGGUAAGUUCCGACCUGCACGAAUGGCAUAAUGAUGGCCAGGCUGUCUCCACCCGAGACUCAGUGAAAUUGAAAUCGCCGUGAAGAUGCGGUGUACCCGCGGCUAGACGGAAAGACCCCGUGAACCUUUACUAUAGCUUGACACUGAACAUUGAAUUUUGAUGUGUAGGAUAGGUGGGAGACUAAGAAGUAGGAACGCCAGUUUCUAUGGAGUCAUCCUUGAAAUACCACCCUUUAACGUUUGAUGUUCUAACGAAGAUUACGAAACGUGGUCUCGGACAGUGUCUGGUGGGUAGUUUGACUGGGGCGGUCUCCUCCCAAAGCGUAACGGAGGAGCACGAAGGUUUGCUAAUCACGGUCGGACAUCGUGAGGUUAGUGCAAUGGUAUAAGCAAGCUUAACUGCGAGACAGACAAGUCGAGCAGGUACGAAAGUAGGUCAUAGUGAUCCGGUGGUUCUGAAUGGAAGGGCCAUCGCUCAACGGAUAAAAGGUACUCCGGGGAUAACAGGCUGAUACCGCCCAAGAGUUCAUAUCGACGGCGGUGUUUGGCACCUCGAUGUCGGCUCAUCACAUCCUGGGGCUGAAGUAGGUCCCAAGGGUAUGGCUGUUCGCCAUUUAAAGUGGUACGCGAGCUGGGUUUAGAACGUCGUGAGACAGUUCGGUCCCUAUCUGCCGUGGGCGU
rnacentral:rRNA from 1 species